CUUGAACUCUUCCUAUCCUAUAGCAUGCCAUCUAUAUCCGAAUCAGUCCGAUUCAAUUAAUAAGGUUUCAUUUCACUUUUCAAAUACAACCAAUAACCAAUUCUCAUAUUUUCACAUCAUCACAUUUACAUAUAUAUUCAUUUCAAUUCAAAUAAUCAAUACAUACAUAAUGUAUAUACCAAUUCAAUCCAUUUCAAUCAACUAUCAAAGUGCCAAAAUACUUACCUCAACCACUUACCAUAUGCAUUAAAUCAAAAUACAAAAAUUAAUGACUAGGUUCAGAUUUAUAGAAAUACAAACCGUGAAUUUCGAGCUAUUCGACGUCGAUUUUAUCCUUCCCCUUUUUAGUCGAGGAUUCUGGUAGACGUUAGCUACAGAAUUAAAACAAUUAAAAUACAUUAAUACAACACAAUUCAAUUCUACCUUAAAUAUUUCAAUUUUUACUCAAUAUUUGCUUAAAUUCUAAUUUAGUCCUUAAAUCGAGACUAAUUUUUAUUCUUCACAUUUAAUCCCAUAUUUUAUACUAAAAUAAAUUUAAGCUAAAUUUAGCUCUUUAUUUUUAAUUAAACCCAUAAAUUUUGAAUUUUUCAUAAUUUAGUCACUAUUACUCAAAAUUUGCAAUUUAUUCUACAAUCUAGUCCUUUUCCAUUUCUAGCUUAAAAAUCUAUCAAUUUAAUCCCUAAUACUAAAACUAUUCAAAAUUAACAACGUUUAAAAUGUUAAUCAAUGUUAAAAUUUCAACAUAGGUUGGGUAAUACUUAACACCAAAAUUUUCAAAAUAUAAAAAUUACAAGAAAAUGGACUAAAUUGACUAACCAAUUUUGAAUUUGAACCUUGAAGUCCGUAUAGUCGUGCGUCUUUCUCUUUUAAAUCUUUUUUCUUUCAACUUUUUCCACUUACUUUCUUUUUAUCUCAUUUAUUAUUUCUUUUAUUUUGUUUUUAUCAUGUAUUAUAUAAUAUAUAAUACAUGUUUACAUACUUUUAAAUUUAUUAACUACUAUAAUAUAUAUAAAAUAAAUUUACAUAAUAGUUAUAUAUAUAACUCAUUAAUAUCGUCCACUAGUUGAAGUAAAUGUAUAUUUACUACAUUAUUCCUUAUACUAAAAUAAUUCUUAAAUCAUGCAAUUUCACUUAACUGAAAUCUAAUUAACUAGACAACUAAAAAUAUUUACUAGUCUGAUUUACGGGAACGGAGUUCCGGGAAUGCACUUUCUGACACCCCUGACUAUAGGGUCGUUACAAUUCUCCUCUUAAUUAAAUUUCGUCCCCUAAAUUUAUGUGAAAAGAGAUGUGGGUAUUGAGAUCUCAAUGUUUCUUCUAGUUCCCAAGUUGCUUCCUCGACACUAUGACUAUGCCAUAGGACUUUCACUAACAGAACUCGCUUAUUACAUGACUCUUUCACCUCGCGAGCCAAAAUCUCGACCAGUUCUUCAUCAUAAGACAAAACAGGUUGAAUCUUAGUGUCUUUCGUCGAAAUAACGUGAGACAGAUCCGAUCGAUACGUUCUAAGCAUUGAAACUUGAAAAACAUCAUGCAUUUUCUGCAACUCCGCAGGCAAAGCUAAACGAUAUGCAACUGGUCUCAUUCUUUCAAUGAUCUCAUACGGUCCGAUAAAACGAGGACUCAACUUUCCUUUUCGGCCAAAUCUCAAUAUUUUCUUCCAAUGUAAAACUUUAAGAAAUACUUUAUCUCUAACAGAAAAUUCAAUAUCUCGACAUUUCAAAUUCGCAUAAGAUUUUUGUCUAUCAAAGAUUGUCUUCAAUCUAUCUCAAAUUUUCUUAACAAUAUCUUCCGUUUAUUGGAUUAAUUCCGGCCCAAUCAUUCUUCUUUCACCCAAUUCCAUCCAACAAACAGGUGUUCGAUGCCUAUGACCGUAUAAAACUUCGUACAGAGUCAUUUGAAUACUCGAUUGAAAGCUAUUAUUAUAUAAAUAUUCAACCAAGGGUAAGUAACGCUUCCAACUUGAUUCAAAAUCAAUAACAUAAGUGCUAAACGUAUCUUCCAAAAUCUGAAUAACACAUUUAGAUUGUCUGUCUGUCUGCGAAUGAAAAACUAUGCUAAAAUUAAGUCAUGUAGCAAGAGAUUCGUGCAACUGUUUUCAAGAUUUCAAAAUGAACCGCAGAUCUCGAUCAAAGCUAGUUGCCAAAUGUGGUGGGGAAAAAUAAAAAAGCUUCUUUUCAGCUCUUAAAGAAUCGCACGAGGCAACAGAUUGAAAAUUGUAGUGUGAGAUUCCUUAGUGUGAGAUUCCUUUCUCAAAGAGGUAAGGAAUUGUUUAUUAAAGCUAUUUUACAUGUUAUACCUACUUACACUAUAACUUGUUUUUUGCUUCCAAAGUCUGUGUGUGGACUUGGACAAUAGUAUGGCUCAUUUUUGGUAGCAAAAAGGACGUGGGCGAAAAGGGAUUCAUUGCUGCAAUUGGGAAACGACUUUGCGAUAUUAAAGAAAAUGAGGGGUAUGGGAUUUCGUAAUUUAUCCAAAUUUAAUGUUGCAUUAUUAGCUAAACAAGGUUGGUGUAUUCUUAAUUACCUAGAUUCAAUAUUAACAGAAGUUCUUAAGGCUAAGUACUUUCCAAAUACAAAUUUUCUUAAUUCUGAGUUAGGACGUCUACUUUCGUAUAUUUAGAAGGGUGUAUGGACAACUAAAUGAUUGCUGAAGUAUAGGAUUUGUUAGAGGGUGGGAACGGGUCAGAAUAUUUCAAUUGUUGCUGAUGCGUGGCUCCUUGGAUUUGUAAGUUAUAAGGUAGAAUCAAUCAGGAAUUACACUGAACUCAAUAAAGUAGUGAAUCUAAUUGAUGAACAAAAGAGAGAAUGGAAGGUUGACUUAAUUUAUUCUACCUUCUCUAAAAAAAAAGUGGACAAAAUUGUGCGAAAUCCCUUAGCAAUGGAACCUCAUGUGGACUUUAUGGUAUGGAAAGGGGAGGCCUCUGGAGAAUUCCUUGUGUGAAGUUCUUAUAAAUUAUUACAUGACAUUUUUCCUAAUUAUUUAUAGACUAAGGCUAAAAUAUUUUACAAAAAACUGUGGAAUAUUCACAUUCCAAGGAAAAAAUCUUAAUCUAGAAAAUUUCUUGGAAUUUUAUUCCCCACUUUGUGAAUCUUUAGUGUAAGAGAUUGCUCUCGGUGGUAGUAUGUCCUAGAUAUGGAGCAGCUGCUGAAAACAUCGAUUAUAUCUUCAGAGAUUGUCUUGUGACACAAGAAGUUUGGAUUAGUUUGAAUCUGGAAUGGGUAUUAGCAGAGAUAAAUUUGUCACACUGGGAGUGACGUACCUGGGUGUUCAAGAAUAGUUCCAGCAUACAAUGUUGAGUAUGGGUUGGUGCCCACCAGCUAGUUUCAUUGUUAAGCUUAAUUUCGACGCCACUUUUAAUGAAUCUCGGGCAAAAUCAGCUUCAAGGGUGGUGGCUAGAAAUGUUUCGAGGGAGGUCCUCGCAUUCAAAAUAGUGGUUCAUGGGAAGGUGGCCUCUUCGUUUGCAGCAGAGGCCAUUGCGCGUCUCUAAGCAGUGUUCAUGGGAAAAUAGAUGGGGUUCACAUCAGUUGUUAUCAAAGGAUUCUCAGUAUCAGUGAUAAAAAAAGUAGAUCAUAUAAGAUUGAUAAAUCAGUGAUUAGGGGUAUAAUACGAAACAUUCAGCAACAAAAGUAAAUUUUUCACCAAAUAAUCUUUCAACAUACAUACCGAUCUACAAAUCUAGUGGCUCACAAUUUAGCUAGAGAGGCAACGAGAGAAGAAUCGCGAGCAUACUUGAUCGAAAGGGUCCCUAAGUGAGGAACAUUAGAGGUGGAUCUGCGGAGGAGAGAACCUGACUGAGUGAUGUUAGAUAGGUGGUAUAUGAGUGAGAAGAGAAAAGGAAAGUGGGAUAGUCGAUGCGUUUUGGAAACUGCUUUUCUGGGGACUAGAAUCGGUGCAUUUAUUGCGGAUAUGCUGAUUGAAUUCCAGUUGUGAUCAGACUAAGAGUUUGUUUGAAUUUUCUUUUUUGCUUUUUAUAUCCUUUUUUUAAAUUUUUUAGUGGUACAUUUCACUUUUUUUUUUUCGCAAACUCUUGGGUUUUGUUUUGUUUAUGAUGGGCUUGUUGUUUUUGUUAGCCCAGUUGUAAUUGUUUUUUUUUAUUUUAAUACACCAAUCUAGUUUAUCAAAAAAAAUUAGUUCAUCUUAGUUGUAAUGAAAUUCAUAUUUUUUUUAUCAAUGUCAUUAUAGGUAUCAUAUUUGUUUUUUU
rnacentral:lncRNA from 1 species